UAUAACAUAGGUAGCGGAGGAUAUAACAUGGGGAAUGGAGGAUAUAACAUGGAAGUGGGGUAUAACAUGGGGAGGUGUGGUUGUGAGGAUAUAACAUAGGUAGUGGAGGAUAUAACAUGGAGAAUGGAGGAUAUAACAUGGGAGUGGGGGUAUAACAUGGGGAGUGGAGGAUAUAACAUGGGAGUGAAGGAUAUAACAUGGGGAGUGGAGUAUAUAACAUGGGGGAAUGGAGGAUAUAACAUGGGGAAUGGAGGAUAUAACAUGGAAGUGGGGUAUAACAUGGGGAGUGGAGGAUAUAACAUGGAGAAUGGAGGAUAUAACAUGGGAGUGGGGGUAUAACAUGGGGAGUGGAGGAUAUAACAUGGGGAGUGGAGUAUAUAACAUGGGGGAAUGGAGGAUAUAUCAUGGUGAGUGGGGGGUAUAACAUGGGGAGGUGUGGUUAGAUCAAACCAAUUUAGUUUUCCUAUUUUCUUCUGAAUCAAUGUACAAAUAGCCAGGAGGCCACAGUAAAAUGCUGUGGACGUUCAUUUGAGUUUCAUUCCUUGACAAUAAAAGCUUUUAAUAAAGAAAGCGAAAC